UAAAAAAUCAAAUAGCCGUUGAGAGUGUUCGAGAGAAUAACAUAACCGAAAUUCAAACGUGGAGCUGGCAAAAGCAUUUCAAGUGAUGAUAUAAAUGAACAAUUCAAUCUCAUUCUGUUAUUGACAAUGGUUUUUUCUAUUGUUUUUCCCUUGCCUGCUAGUGGUUUGUUCUGUUUUCUUGUUCUUUUUUUCUCUGAAUCUUUUUGUCAGCGUUCUAUCUGUUCAAUUUAUUUAGGGUUUGUUUUGUUUUGAUUUUUUAAGGGUUUGUUUUGUUUCAGUUUUCUUGUAAUAGUUUGUUCUGUUUUCUUGUUCUUUCUUUCUCUGUAUUUUUUUUGUCAGCGUUCUGUCUGUUCACUUUUUAAGGGUUUGUUUUCUUUUCAUUUUUUUUUUAAAGGUGGUAUACAGUGUGCACACUGGUCUGUCAAUGUUAUUUAUCUACUACUUUUUCUAUUUUUUGGGUAUUACAUUUUUUUUAAGCAGAUAUAGAGGCAGAACAGGUGAAAUGGCAAUUGAGGGCAAAAUUCUUUUUCCAGUAGCAGAUAAAGAGGCACAGCAGGUGAAGAGGCAGAGAAAAGGAAGAGGCAAGAAAAGGAAAUGGCAAUUGAAUGAGGGAGAAAAACAUUUUCAGGAUAAAGAGGAAUCAUAGAUUGUUUGUCUUGUUUGAUUUACAGGAUGUUGCAUCAAAGCUAAUGUCAUUUUCACAACAAGGACCUCGUGCAGUUUGCAUCCUUUCAGCAAAUGGUGCCAUUUCUAAUGUGACACUUCGUCAACCUGCAACUUCUGGUGGCACUUUGACAUAUUAUGCUAUUAAUUUGUACUUCUUUAUUCUUUCCGUUCAUUAUAAUCAAGAAGAAAAUAUUCGCUCCAAGUAAUAUAGAUCUACUAGCUCAUGUUUUGGUAGGUUCUUUUCUUAUUUCAAAAGGAAGAGGAAGACAAAGGAAAUGACAAUUGAAUGAGGGCAAAAUCCUUUUUCAAUGCGAUUCUUUAUAUUGGUUAUCUUUAUUAUAAAAUGAAUGGGUUGUUUGCCUUGCUAAACUGAAUAGGAAUCACAGAUAAGGAAGUAGCAGUAAAAUGGAGGCAAAAUUCUUCUUCCAAACAAUUCUUCAUAUAAAUUAUUUUUUUUAUAAGAACUAACAAAUUGUUUGCCUUGCUAGGAUACUCAAUAAUCAUAGAUUGUUUACAUAUGGAUGGCUGAUUCAACAUUUCAGAUUUGACCACUUCAGAGGCCAUUUUCUCUUAAUCUUUCAAUUUUUACACCAUGUUUUAAUUUGAUUUGUUUUCAUUUUUAAUAGAUUGACUAAUAUUGUUUAUUUUUAUGUUUUUGCAGCAAAAUGCUGGUAGAUAAAUGGUGGUUUUCAUUUUUCUGUUUAUUCCUUUUGGUCAAGAUUCUAAUGUAGUCAUGAGAUGUAGAGAAAUAGAGAUGAGAAGUUCGUUAUGAUCACAAGUACCUGCUCUAGAAGGAAGAUAGAUUUCCAAAACAGCCAACCCUGUGUUUGAAUUCUUUCAUGCCUAGGCUCUAUAAACUCUGGUGGAUCUAACAGAUGUCUACAGACCAAAUUAUGCAUCGAAAAAUGAAGAAUUAAAGUAGACUUACAUGUGGGCACUUCUGUUAUUUCAGGACUUAUCUUUCAGUAAAAAUAUCUCCUCUUGAUAAUUUCGUCAGGAUUCUAAGGUUCAUCUCAGCAGUUCACUGACUUCAUAGGAUGCUCAGCUGCAAUGCCCUAUUGGACUUUUGAUAUUGCCCUGGUCUGCAAUUUUUUGUACUGAGUGAAGGCAAAAUUCCUUUUCCACCUUGUACUUCUUAUAAGUUGUUUAUCUUGCUAGGACGAAUAAGAAUCUUGGAUUUGACCACUUUAGAUGUCAUUUUCUCUUUAUCUUUCAGUUUUUACACAAUCCAAAGAGGCCAUGUUUUAAUUUGGUUUAUUUUCAUUUCUAAUAGAUUUGCUCAUGUUUAUUUUUAUGUUCUUGGAGAAAAAUGCUGGUAGCUAGAUGCAGAGCAGGUGACGAGGGAGAGAAGAGGAAGAGGCAAGAAACAAAAUGGCAAUUAAAUGAGGGGAAAAUUCUUUUUUCAGGUAAUUCUUUGUAUAGAUUAUAUUUAUUUAUAAGAAUUAAUGAGUUGUGUGCCUUGUUAAAAUGAAUAGGAAUCACAAAUAAGGAAGCAGCAAUUGAAUGGAGGUAAAAUUCUUCAAAAUAAUUGUUCAUAUAAAUUAUCUUUAUUAUAAGAACUAAUGAAUUGUUUGUCUCUUGCUAGGAUAAAGAGGAAUCAUAGAUUGUUUGCCUUGUUUGACUUACAUGUGGGUUUUUUAAAUUGGUUUUCCCUCCUAUUAAUUGUUUAUUCUGUUUUCUUGAUCUUUCUUUCAUUUUUUUUUUCUCAAUGCUCUGUUUGUUCAAUUUUUUUUCAAGAGUUUGUUUUGUUUUGAUUUUUUUAAGAAUUUUUCUUUUUCUUGCAAAGGUUGUAUACAGUGUGCACACUGGUCUGUCCAUGUUAUUCAUUUAUUAUUUGUUCUAGUCUCUUUUUUUCGGUAUUAAAUUUUUUUGGUAGCAGAUAAAGAGACAGAGUUGGUGAAGAGGCACAGUAGAGGAAAAGGCAGAGAAAAGGAAACGACAAUUGAAUGAGGGCAAAAUUCUUUUUAUUAUAAGAAUUAAUGGGUUGUUUGCCUUGUUAAAAUGAAUAGGAAUCACAGAUAAGGAAGCAGCAAUCAAAUGGAGGCAAAAUUUUUCUUCCAAACAAUUUUUCGUACAAAUUAUCUUUAUUGUAAGAACUAAUGAAAUCUUUAUUAUACUAAUCACAGAUAAAGAGGAAUAAUAGAAUCUAACAAAGUUCAUUUUUCUCUUAAUCUUUUAGUUUUUACACAAUCCAAGGAGGCUAUGUUUUAAUUUGGUUUAUUUUCAUUUCUAAUAGAUUUUCUCAUGUUUAUUUUUAUGUUCUUAGAGAAAAAUGCUGAUAGGUAAAUAGUGGGUUGAGCAAAGGACUGAUGAAGUGAGAUUUCAAUGCAGUCAUGAGAUUUGAAUACAGGGGUAGAUAAGUGGACCGGGGAAGAGAUCACAUAACCACUGCUCUGGCAGGGUGGAGGGUUUACACACAACCCUAACAGACAGUGCAAGCUCACAACCUUUCCGGUGGGAGUGACAUUGAUCAAUUUCUUUAGUAAAAUUUUGGUCAAGCAUAUUGAUCUAACAUCAUUGUAAUAUCUACAAAUAUAAUGUUUAAUAAAAAAAGUUUAUCAGAAGGGGCUAACAACCCCUUCUAAAGACUGAAGGGAAUAGCUAGUGGCCAUGGUUAUUCCUCAAGGUCACGACAACUUAAAGAAUGGUUGAUAGGCCAAAACCAUUCUUUAAGGUCUCCACCUCAUUUUAUUUUCAUUUUCAUUUGGGAAUUUGUUAAUUUUAAUCUCAACACAAGUUACAAAUGAUGAUUUUGAAAAUAAAUUUAUCAUUUAUAAAUCGCAAGACAAAUCCCUUUAUAAAUGUUCUAUGAAUAAUUGCUAAAACAGUUCACAAAGAAUAAUCAUAAAUUACUCUUAUUAAAACAUAAUUUACUCACUUUAUGAAUACAAUUCACAUUAGAUAAUCAUGCCCCCAAUUUUUAAAAAAAUGCAUUUAAAUAGAUUUGUAUGGCCCCCAUCUUUUUCACAUGGAUUUAAGAAGGGAGGGUUUGUUGGAUUUCUUUGCAGGUUCGUCUCAGCAGUUCACUGACCUCAUAGGAUGUUCAGCUGCAAUGCCCUAUUGGACUUUUGGUAUUGUCCUGAUCUGCAAUUUUUUGUAUUGAGUGAAGGCAAAAUUCCUUUUCCACUUAAUACUCCAUAUAAGUUGUUUGUCUUGCUAGGACGAAUAAGAAUAUCGGAUUUGACCACUUUAGAUGUCAUUUUCUCUUAAAUCUUUAAGUUUUUAUACAAUCCAAAGAGGCCAUGUUUUGACUUGCUCAUGUUUAUUUUUAUGUUCUCGGAGAAAAAUGUUGGUAGCUAGAUGUGGCGAGGGAGAGAAGAGGAAAAGGCAAGAAAAGGAAAUGGCAAUGGAAAUUCUUUUUUUUUUUAGGCUAUUUUUCGUAUAAAUUAUCUUUAUUUUAAGAAUUAAUGGGCUGUUUGCCUUGCUAAAAUGAAUAGGAAUUACAGAUAAGGAAGCAGCAAUCAAAUGGAGGUAAAAUUCUUCUUCAAAAUAAUUCUUCUUAUAAAUUAUCUUUAUUAUAAAAACUAAUGAAUUGUGUGUCUUGCUAGGAUAAAGAGGAAUCAUAGAUUUUUUGCCUUAUUUGAUUUACACAUGUGGUUUUUUUUAUUGUUUUCCGCUUUUCUCUUAAUGGUUUAUUCUGUUUUCUUGUUUUUCUUUCAUUAUAAUUUUUUUUUGUGUUCUUAGAGUUUUUUAAGAGUUUGUUUUGUUUUGAUUUUUUUUUUAAUUUUCUUUUUUUUCUAAAGGUUGUAUACAGUGUGCACACUGGUCUGUCCACGUUAUUCAUUUAUUAUUUGUUCUUGUCUCUUUUUUUGGUAUUUUUUUUUUGUGGUAGCGAAUAAAGAGGCAGAGUUGUUGAAGAGGCAGUGUAGAGGAAGAGAGAGAAAAGAAAUGAGGGUGAAAUUCUUUUUUUCAGGCUUGUCUUGAUCAACAGUUCAUUGACCUUAGGAUGCCCAGCUACAAUUCAGCAUGCUCAGCUACAAUGUUUUCAGACCCCUCAAAAGGGUGGAGGGUUGCCAGCAAGAGAUUGAGAUAUUAAUCAUUUCUUUAAUAAAAUUAUGGCCAAGCAUAUUGGUCAAGCAUUGUAACAUGCACAAAUAUUAUGUUUAAUAAAAAAAAUUUAUCCGAAGGA